rnacentral:rRNA from 1 species
UACGGGGGGGGCAAGCGUUGUUCGGAAUUACUGGGCGUAAAGGGCGCGUAGGUGGCCAACUAAGUCAGACGUGAAAUCCCCAGGCUCAACUUGGGAACUGCGUCUGAUACUGGAUGGCUUGAAUUCGGGAGAGGGAUGCAGAAUUCCAGGUGUAGCGGUGAAAUGCGUAGAUAUCUGGAGGAAUACCGGUGGCGAAGGCGGCAUCCUGGACCGAGAUUGACACUGAUGAGCGAAAGCUAGGGGAGCAAACGGG